CGAGCCAGGAAGAUGAAGUGCUGCCUCCUCUCCAUCGCCUUGGCUGUUCUGGUGCUCAUUGUCAUCAUCAUCGCGGUCUCCGUCAAGCGCUGAGCUGGUGGUGCUUUCCACAGAGCCUGUGAUCCCCCUGGGAAGCUGGAAUGGAUUCUCAAGGCAUUGCACAUUCAGGCCCCGCGUCCAUGUCUGCGUUACUGACACGUCACAUUGAACCUGCUCCACCAACAGGCACAAGCUGUAUGAAAAAAAAGAGCUAAAUUUCAUACUGUGUGUUGGUAGCAUUGUGAAUCAUUUUGCCUGGUUUUUUUCCCCCUUCAUUGUAGACACGUUUUACCUCAGAUUUUAAUUACGUCCCCCGUGUCUGGGGAAUGCUCUUUCCUUUGCCUUCAGAUUUGCUAAACAAUGUGCUGUAAGAUAAGUAGCUUUUAAUUCAUCUCCAUUGUUUGUGUUUUUAACCUGCUCCCGGUCUCCAGUUCUGCCCAUUUAAAACCAUGAAAGUCAAGAUGUUUUGUCUGAUUCUUUUUUUGUUGUUGUUGUUUGUUACUGUUUUUGUACAUUUAAAGAUUAAUUUAGCUCAGAUUCCCCCUCCUGCUGUGCACUGCUGCUUUAGACUCUGCUCUGCUGGAUCUGAGCUAAGCACGACCACAAUUAUAUAUGCCAUUUACAACACUUAAAUUAGAUGCUUCUUUGAUCCCACUGUAUGCACAGAACACCACACUCAUUUAUGAGAAACACUACUGAAAGAGCAGGACAAAUAAGCAAGGCAUAAUGU